GACGAACGCUGGCGGCGUGCUUAACACAUGCAAGUCGAACGGAAAGGCCCUGCUUUUGUGGGGUGCUCGAGUGGCGAACGGGUGAGUAACACGUGAGUAACCUGCCCUUGACUUUGGGAUAACUUCAGGAAACUGGGGCUAAUACCGGAUAGGAGCUCCUGCUGCAUGGUGGGGGUUGGAAAGUUUCGGCGGUUGGGGAUGGACUCGCGGCUUAUCAGCUUGUUGGUGGGGUAGUGGCUUACCAAGGCUUUGACGGGUAGCCGGCCUGAGAGGGUGACCGGCCACAUUGGGACUGAGAUACGGCCCAGACUCCUACGGGAGGCAGCAGUGGGGAAUAUUGCACAAUGGGCGGAAGCCUGAUGCAGCAACGCCGCGUGCGGGAUGACGGCCUUCGGGUUGUAACCCGCUUUCGCCUGUGACGAAGCGUGAGUGACGGUAAUGGGUAAAGAAGCACCGGCUAACUACGUGCCAGCAGCCGCGGUGAUACGUAGGGUGCGAGCGUUGUCCGGAUUUAUUGGGCGUAAAGGGCUCGUAGGUGGUUGAUCGCGUCGGAAGUGUAAUCUUGGGGCUUAACCCUGAGCGUGCUUUCGAUACGGGUUGACUUGAGGAAGGUAGGGGAGAAUGGAAUUCCUGGUGGAGCGGUGGAAUGCGCAGAUAUCAGGAGGAACACCAGUGGCGAAGGCGGUUCUCUGGGCCUUUCCGGACGCUGAGGAGCGAAAGCGUGGGGAGCGAACAGGCUUAGAUACCCUGGUAGUCCACGCUGUAAACGGUGGGUACUAGGUGUGGGGUCCAUUCCACGGGUUCCGUGCCGUAGCUAACGCUUUAAGUACCCCGCCUGGGGAGUACGGCCGCAAGGCUAAAACUCAAAGGAAUUGACGGGGCCCCGCACAAGCGGCGGAGCAUGCGGAUUAAUUCGAUGCAACGCGUAGAACCUUACCUGGGUUUGACAUGGAUCGGGAGCGCUCAGAGAUGGGUGUGCCUCUUUUGGGGUCGGUUCACAGGUGGUGCAUGGCUGUCGUCAGCUCGUGUCGUGAGAUGUUGGGUUAAGUCCCGCAACGAGCGCAACCCUUGUUCACUGUUGCCAGCACGUUAUGGUGGGGACUCAGUGGAGACCGCCGGGGUCAACUCGGAGGAAGGUGGGGAUGACGUCAAGUCAUCAUGCCCCUUAUGUCCAGGGCUUCACGCAUGCUACAAUGGCUGGUACAGAGAGUGGCGAGCCUGUGAGGGUGAGCGAAUCUCGGAAAGCCGGUCUCAGUUCGGAUUGGGGUCUGCAACUCGACCUCAUGAAGUCGGAGUCGCUAGUAAUCGCAGAUCAGCAACGCUGCGGUGAAUACGUUCCCGGGGCU
rnacentral:rRNA from 1 species